CUUGUAAGUUAGUCUGGUUAAAGUGGCUUGUGGGAGAGGUUGGUGUGGUUGUUCUGAGGCUGGCUUUCAGAAGCAGCACUGCUAAAGGUCAGACUUUUUGCAAGGGCUCCCAUUUCACAAGCAUAACCGUUCUGUUCAUCAAGCUACAGUGCGGGAAUAAUCUUGCUGGCAGCUCUUCAGACCAAAAUCUGGAAUUGCUCAUUUGCAAGGACUGCUACUUUCAGCUCCCAGAGCACUAACAGAGACUCAUUCAGACCCUUUCACAUCUCCUCGUGCCCCGUAAGAUGACUCAUUGCAGGGACCCAGGACUAUGUCAUAGACGUCCUUCUCUCUGGGAGGAAUUUUUCCAGGAUUGUUACUCCUUGGAAGAGUGCCUGGUAAAAUUUGUCACUACUUCCUUGCGUGGCUGACUGACUUCUCCGGGGUGUUGGUAAAGGAGGCAGCUCUUCAGGAGAGUGAUGGCUCUGGGGGAUGUUCCAACACAAACGAUCUCUGCUGAUGAAGUUGCCAGUGGUAUCUGAGUGGGAUUUACACGCCAGCUUUCGUUACCCGGGAACAAACCAGAGCGGGGACUACCAAUUCAUUAUUUCAUGGUAUGCUCACGGAUGAAGCACAAAACAAACCUGCGAUUUUAUGUGCGUGUACAUCUCUAUCUUUUACACUGUAAAAUCACCCCUAAGUUUCUUUUAAAGGCCCAAUGUCUGUGGGUGAACCUUCGUGCUCAUCACUUCAGCUCCUGGAGCUGGGGAAGAACCCGAUCAGACCUUGCUUUCCCAGCAAGGUAGUGAGGGCAAAGACAUCCCUGCUGCUCUUGUGUCCCCGUCGUAUUAUCCAUUACUGUAACUAGGCUGCUCCUUUCUUUUAAGCCCACGUGAGAUGUCAGCUCAAACGGGCAUCUUUGUUUCCUUCUGCCUGCAUUUGCUGUGACAGACAGGAAAUUAAAGUAGCUAAAAUGAAAGAAAUGAAAAAGAAUUUGCACUGAGGAGACGGCAGUAACGAAAGGAGAGCGGGCGCCGCACGCCAUCACCGAGGCUGGACCCAGGGCAGCAACUCCUCUGCCCUCGUGAGGUCCCACCAGCUCCUUCAGCCCGGUGCCGUGUCGUUCCAUCCUCUUCAUCCUGGCGCCAUGUUGUUCCAUCUCCUUCAUCCCGGCGCCGUGCCGCUCCAUCUGCUUCGAUGUGGUGGAGGGCUUUGCUGCGGCUGCUGCACAAAGCCACCGUGGGUUUGAUGGGCCGUUACGUUCCUGCAGCCUGCCUCCCUGGAGACACUUCCAAAAUAGAAGCAAGUGGGGACAGAAAAAAAAGAAAUCCUAACCUGAUUAUGAUAGA